rnacentral:siRNA from 1 species
GGGCCUCUCCACCUAUUGC